AAAAAGCAAGCAGACUACUGAUAUUUGCAUUAUAACUGCACGUGUAAAUAUAGAUUGCUCAAAACAUUUCCCCUCGAUGGUUUUAAUAAGGUCAUAUUCCUGAUCGUACAUACAUGUUCUGGUACUCUAGGAAAUACAGUAUGUGAUCAAAGCUUAUUCUGAGCGUAUAUGCAAAUAAAUAACAACGUAGAUGUGUUGUGCACCUAUGAGUACAACUAUACAUGCCAGCAAGGACCAUAUAUCCUACUCCCUCCGUCCCAUAAUGUAAGACGUUUUUUGACACCACUAGUGUGAAAAAACGUCUUACAUUAUGGGACGGAGGGAGUACUACUCUACAACUUGAGCCGCCUAUACAUACAUAUUACAUCUGUGGUCUUGUCUGGACUACGUAGAUCUUCCCAUCCUUCACUACUCCCUCAAUAUCCUGCGGUGACCCAUAGAGCUCCUCGAUGGCGUGGCCAGCCCGUGCAAUGCUUGAGAGGAUUGAGCUCCGGAAUCCAGAGUCAGUGAUGAGAGGGUCGGUCGUGUAGUCGAGUACAACUUCAUCUUCCACAUCCAUAGGGACACUGAAACAGGCACACUCCUUAGCUGUAAUACUAAAUGAAUUUUCAAGCAUUUGCGUAAAGCAAGUCUCAUGAAGGAUUUUCACUAACCUAUCAUACAGCCCUGCUCCAGCGUAACCUUCCAGAUCCUCACCAUUAGAGUCUGAACGGAAGAUGAUUGACCGCUUUAUGAAGAGACCAAUUGGCUUGCUAGGGUAACCGAGUACCUAUUAAUGCGCUACAUUCAGCUCAGCAAGAAUUUAACAUGUGAAAAAACUAAGAUACUCAAGAUAUUCUCACCUUGGGAGAGUCGAGGUCAUCUUUCUUACACACGAAGCUCAUGGCACGGCCAGGAUAAGCUCCCACAAGUGUUUCUCCAAGUCCUUUCACCACUUCAGCAUAUAUCUCAGAAGAAUCUCCAGAUGACGGGUUCGUAGUAUGAAUAACAAAGGCAUAGUCUGCGUUGACAAUUUCUUGUACAAGAACAGCCAUGGAAAGGUACUCAUGAUCGAGCUUCACCUUGCGGGUGCUAAAAUAUGCUCUUUCAUUCCAUUUUGAUGCCCAAACCUAAAAUAGAAAUUAUGUGAGAUGUCGAAAUCCCCCACUCAGAACGAAUUCACUCACCCACUAAUUUAUCAUAAUCAAAUGCUCUGAUCUCUAUAAUAGAUCUAUCUAAGCUUUGGGGACAAAUGAUCCAAGAAGAUCCAAUUUAUGUAGGUAAGUCCAUGGCGUUUCUAAUGACAUCAAAACUCAGAGAUGUGCAUUCUGGAUCCUUCACUGGUAUGAGUGUCAGGAGAGCAGACCUUUUUAAUUGCCAUCCAUGCUUGCUCCCAACGGUGGUCACUUUCAUCUCCAGGCCAGGGCAUUCCGGAGCUUAGCAUCUUCUCCUUCAGCUCCUUAACCUGUAAAGGGAAGUAUAGAAAAAGUGAGAUAAACAAGGUUUCAAAUUGCAAUGAAUGCAAAUAGAAUUUAUAAUUAUUUUUUGUUUAAGAAAACUGUGGGGAAAACCCCGACAAUAUAAAUAGGAACCUAAAUUUAUGUCGUAAGGAGUGAGGACUUGAGCCCAUGUGGUGGGACUGUAUCCACUCUCUCACUUCUUACUACCGCUGACAAAAAAAUACUUUAAAGGACAGAUCCAGUGCUAGAAGCUCCCACACCGGGUGGGGUCUGGGGAAGGAUUAUACGAGCCUCCCCCCUGCACAGUGCAAUGCAGAGAGGCCGCAUCAAACCCAGGACCUCUUGGCACAAGUGGGGAGUACUUCACCACUGCGUCAGGACUGUCCUUAAAAAAAAAUCUAUCGGAUUUAAAUCUUUAACUUAAUUCUUCUAAAGAUCUGGGUACGUGGCGGUCCGUUCACCUCUUAAGUUUCUUUAUACUCUUUUAAAGAUCUGAGUUGGUGGUGGCCCGUUUACCUCUUACGUUAUUAAGAAUCGUCACAUUUGUUAUCCAUUUUAUGAGGGAUAUACAUAUGGUUGGAUUCAAUUGAUGUAUAUUCUGAGAUUUUUUUUUUCUAUUUUGUACAAACUUAUGGACUACGUGGCGCAAGCGUUUAAACAACUGAUAAUAGUAUAUAACAAAAUUAAAUUCCAUAGACAAAGCACAAGCAUUUAGCUACUUGCAAUGUUAUAUCUUACCAGUUGAGUUGGAGCAGUUAGAUUAAGAACAGUUUUCCGGAUUUCUCCUAGAGCACUAAAAUCUUCUUGAGCAAGUCUGCCCUUCAGCAUCUGUAUGUUUUGUGCUACUUCCUGCCAUCAAAGGACGGAACAAUCAGUUGGCUCAUUGCCUGGAAGAUCAUUACUUAUUUCAAGUGUACUUUUGUGAUAACAUCAUAACAAUGUAUGAGAAUAAUAAAUUAAAAAAUCAUUAUUGUGCUAGCAACUUUUUGUAUUGGACAGGCAGAUGAAACAGAUUUCUCUAACCACUGUAUAAACCGAGUGAUACGGUGCUACCAUUCACUUAUUUAAUUUCAAACAAGAACCACCAACCUUAUUGGUCUCAUCAGACAAUAUCUUCUCAAAGGUCCCAAAUGGUAUCGCAACUGAUGUUGGGAUACCAACCCAUGAAGGUACUUUUCCUUUCAGGUAUGCUAUGUUGCGG
rnacentral:lncRNA from 1 species